rnacentral:rRNA from 1 species
GUGCCAGCAGCCGCGGUAAUACGAAGGGUGCAAGCGUUACUCGGAAUUACUGGGCGUAAAGCGUGCGUAGGUGGUCGUUUAAGUCCGUUGUGAAAGCCCUGGGCUCAACCUGGGAACUGCAGUGGAUACUGGGCGACUAGAGUGUGGUAGAGGGUAGCGGAAUUCCUGGUGUAGCAGUGAAAUGCGUAGAGAUCAGGAGGAACAUCCAUGGGCGAAGCAGCUACCUGGACCAACACUGACACUGAGGCACGAAGCAGCGUGGGGAGCAACAGAUUAUAUACCCUGGUAUUCC